CUUUAUUUAAUAAAAAUAAUAGGGGACUAGUAUAUUUUCUCAUUGGUUUCUGAUGACUAGAAACAUAUAAAAUGGAAAACUGUGUUAAAUAAAGACAAAAUAUGGUGAUGUAUGAUCAGAACACUGUUUAGAUUUCUCUCAGUGCAUCAGCUAGACAAACGAGGGAUCGGCAAACGGACAACAACAACAACAGCAGCAUUAGUGGUAUCAGCAGCAAGAACAACUGCAGCAACAACGACGACGUCUGACUAAAUGCCUCAUACUGUGCGCGAUCUGAGGUUCAGGCUCCUUGGCUAUCUGUCCGCCGGCUGAUCCGUCCGCUCGGUUUUCAAGGUUAACAAGUUGCAUUUGCAAUUUGGCACUAGGACUGACUGGUCUGCCAGACUCGAGACCCAGUCGAAGCAGAAAGACGGAACUCAACAUCUUCUCUCAACCCCUUCGACCGCAUCAAUCGAACGCGUCAAUGAAACGACCUGCUCAAUACAAAGAACCGAAAUCAAAGAUCCAAAGUGAAGUACAACAAAAAGCACUCUCAUCGAAUCAAAUGAUACCCUCGGACGGACGAAACGAUGUCCCCACUUUGCUGUAUGUGGCAGAGAAGAUGGGAAAUUUAAUAAUAGAGCCGAAAUGGGUAUCAAUACUUGGGAUAACAGUCAGUUUCAACGGUUACCAAAAUGAAAAUAUUCAUGCAUCUGAAUUCCAAGUACGAAAUAAAAUAGUGGUAAUGUAAAUUUUCACUAAGAAGCUUGUAAAAA